GAGUUUGAUCCUGGCUCAGGAUGAACGCUGGCGGCGUGCCUAACACAUGCAAGUCGAACGGAGUUACAGUGAAACCUAGUGAUCUGUAACUUAGUGGCGGACGGGUGAGUAACGCGUGGGUAACCUGCCUUGUACUGGGGGAUAACACCUGGAAACAGGUGCUAAUACCGCAUAAGCGCACAGAGCCGCAUGGCUCAGUGUGAAAAACUCCGGUGGUACAAGAUGGACCCGCGUCUGAUUAGCCAGUUGGGGGGGUAACGGCCCACCAAAGCGACGAUCAGUAGCCGGCCUGAGAGGGUGAACGGCCACAUUGGGACUGAGACACGGCCCAAACUCCUACGGGAGGCAGCAGUGGGGAAUAUUGCACAAUGGGGGAAACCCUGAUGCAGCAACGCCGCGUGAGUGAAGAAGUAAUUCGUUAUGUAAAGCUCUAUCAGCAGGGAAGAAAAUGACGGUACCUGAGUAAGCAGCCCCGGCUAACUACGUGCCAGCAGCCGCGGUAAUACGUAGGGGGCAAGCGUUAUCCGGAUUUACUGGGUGUAAAGGGAGCGUAGACGGUUAUGCAAGUCUGAAGUGAAAUGCCAGUGCUCAACACUGGAACUGCUUUGGAAACUGUGUAACUGGAGUGCAGGAGAGGUAAGUGGAAUUCCUAGUGUAGCGGUGAAAUGCGUAGAUAUUAGGAGGAACACCAGUGGCGAAGGCGGCUUACUGGACU
rnacentral:rRNA from 1 species